CGGAAGCGGCUGGAGCUCCCGGCAGGCAGCGCGAGGAGGCAGAGAUCUAGUGACUGACCGGCUGCCCGGUCUGUCGCAGGAUUUGGAGCCCUCUCCAGAGAAAAUGUCCACAUGUGCAUGCAGCUGACCGGAGUGGCUCACCACAGUCUUCUAACCACCCUGCAUUGUAUAGAGCCAACCCCUAGAACGCUAGCUGAUCACAUUCUGAAAAUGUUAGCUCUUAACAACUAAUUGAAUUAACAGUUUCUUUUCAGUGUCAGAAACUGCUAAAACUGUGGUUUAGAAAAGCAGCUGAUGAGCCCAGUGUGUUGGCUCAAUCCUGUCAUCCGAGUACCAAGGAGAGCAGAGGCAGGAGGCUCCCUGUCAAUUCAAGAUUAGCUACUAUUUAAUCUGGGAUGGAUGAUUGUCUGCACCCCCAGUAUUGGGACUGUAAACAUGUGCUAUUAUGCUGACUUUCCUUUGGCUUUCAAAGGCAUUGGCUUACCAGACCAAACUCCAGCGGGAAGAGAAAUGCUUGCUAACAGCUACCACUGUGCUAAAAGUGAGCAGCUUGAUGUGUCCAUUACCUUGCAUAAGUUAGGCAAAUAAAAUGCACUUGUAAGUGUAAAGUGAUGGGACUGCCCUUUAUAACAUUCA